UACGUAGGGUGCGAGCGUUAAUCGGAAUCACUGGGCGUAAAGCGCACGUAGGCGGGUCGUUAAGUCAGGGGUGAAAUCCUGGAGCUCAACUCCAGAACUGCCCUUGAUACUGGCGAUCUCGAGUUCGGGAGAGGUGAGUGGAACUGCGAGUGUAGAGGUGAAAUUCGUAGAUAUUCGCAAGAACACCAGUGGCGAAGGCGGCUCACUGGCCCGAUACUGACGCUGAGGUGCGAAAGCGUGGGGAGCAAACAGG
rnacentral:rRNA from 1 species